UACGUAGGGGGCAAGCGUUGUCCGGAUUUAUUGGGCGUAAAGAGCGUGUAGGCGGUUUGGUAGGUCCUCUGUGAAAACUCGAGGCUCAACCUCGAGACGCCGGUGGAAACCAUCAGGCUAGAGUCCGGAAGAGGAGAGUGGAAUUCCUGGUGUAGCGGUGAAAUGCGCAGAUAUCAGGAAGAACACCCGUGGCUAAGGCGGCUCUCUAGUACGGUACUGACGCUGAGACGCGAAAGCGUGGGGAGCGAACAGG
rnacentral:rRNA from 1 species